CCUACGAGAGGCAGCAGUGAGGAAUAUUGGUCAAUGGGCGCGAGCCUGAACCAGCCAAGUAGCGUGAAGGAUGACUGCCCUACGGGUUGUAAACUUCUUUUAUAAAGGAAUAAAGUGAGGCACGUGUGCCUUUUUGUAUGUACUUUAUGAAUAAGGAUCGGAUAACUCCGUGCCAGCAGCCGCGGUAAUCCGGAGGAUCCGAUCGUUAUCCGGAUUUAUUGGGUUUAAAGGGAGCGUAGAUGGGUUGUUAAGUCAGUUGUGAAAGUUUGCGGCUCAACCGUAAAAUUGCAAUUGAUAAUGGCAGUCUUGAGUACAGUUGAGGUAGGCGGAAUUCGUGGUGUAGCGGUGAAAUGCUUAGAUAUCACGAAGAACUCCGAUUGCGAAGGCAGCUUACUAAACUGCCACUGACAUUGAUGCUCGAAAGUGUGGGUAUCAAACAGGAUUAGAUACCCUUGUAGUC
rnacentral:rRNA from 1 species